rnacentral:rRNA from 1 species
CACGUAGGGGGCAAGCGUUGUCCGGAUUUAUUGGGCGUAAAGAGCUCGUAGGCGGUUCGGUAAGUCGGGUGUGAAACCUCCAGGCUCAACCUGGAGAUGCCACCUGAUACUGCUGUGACUCGAGUCCGGUAGGGGAGCGUGGAAUUCCUGGUGUAGCGGUGAAAUGCGCAGAUAUCAGGAGGAACACCAGCGGCGAAGGCGGCGCUCUGGGCCGGAACUGACGCUGAGGAGCGAAAGCGUGGGUAGCAAACAGG